UACAAGUAAUUUAUAACCAACAUCUUUAUCGAGAUACAAGUAAUUCUAACCACAAUUUUUACUGUGAGACAAUUAAUUUUUAACCAAAAUCUUUACCUAGUAUCAGUAAUUUUUAAUCCGCAUCUUUACCACAAUACAAGUAAUUUUUAACCAAAAUUUUGACCCUAAUUCAAGUCAUUUUUAACGAAUAGCAACAUUUCUCUAAAUCUGUAAAUAUUCAUUUUUGGGUAAACGGUUUCUUUAAGGUACAGUUAUGGAAUCUUUGGUAGUAAAUAUGGUAAGCAUCUUUUUUUUCUGAGAGUGCGGUGUUGGACUCGACCAAUGGCAUGCCUUUGGGAGCAUGGCUAUCUCUUUAUGAUUAUGAAUGAACCAAACUCAAAAGGUCUUUUUUUCUUUCUCUCCAGAGGAACCCUGCCGAGAUUCCCUUGAGGUGCUGAUUUCAGGGACGCCCAUUCCAGCGUCUUCUCCUCCCAUCUUCUGUGAAUGCCGAUAUCACUGGUGCUGUCAGAUUCGGCAUUUCCGGGUCUGGAGGCUAUAUCCAGCUGUGUGCGUGUGCAAUUCGGUGGCAUUGCCAUGACAACAACCUUCAAUGAGAUCCAUCAAACCUAGGUUUAUCCCUCAGGGCCGCUGCUGAUGCGAGCAACUGUCUCCACGGUGACAGACGCCAAAGAUAAAGCAAGGCAGCUUUGCCGAAGCCAUCAAAGUCUUCACUACGAGCAACAUAUGCACAUCAUCCCAACAUCACGCCUACUCUGUGGAUGAAACAUGACUUCUUAAAGCAGGUUAUACAGAAACACAUUCAGUUACAUCAUCAUUCGUCUCUCAAAUCAGCAGAAACCUGAGGCUGAAUCUGAGAGGUUCACAGAUCUACACACCGAGGUAAAAGAGGCCUACAUGGGCCAUGGCCCCACCAUCACCUCACUUCCUUCCUCCAGGGACUCUCCUCUAAGGGGUCAGGGGGGUCAGACACAUGCCUGCAGUCUCAGAUGCAGAUGGAGAUGUGACUGCGGUGUGUGUGUGGGUGGGUGAACGUCAGCUCAGUGUCUCCCGCUCAGUGCCCUUUAUGCCGCCAUAGCAGCCAGGCCGGUCUGGACGCGCUGUGACGGCGGUCCAGCAGCGCUGCAGGCGGGAAGUGGAUGUGACUUUGAGUUCCUGCCACUGUUUUGCCAGAGGAUUAUCGAACCGCUCUUCAACCUUCACCAACUCUGUGUGACGGACUGUAAAGUGUUGGCCUCACGCAGACAGACUUUGGACUAACGGCAUGAAGGCUUACGCUGUCCACUGCUUGACUGACAUUUAAAGCAGCCAAUCUCAUUUUUGAUUUUUAUGUAUCGUUGAGAGGUGGUUAAUCUGAAAUCGUUGCUACUACAUUGCACAAAGUGGCAAAGUGUAUAUACUCUUUGAUCUAAAUAUACCGUUCAGUAAGUUUGGGGUCUGUUUUUGAAAGUCACCAAGGCUGCAUUUAUUUGAUCAAAACAAUAAAAACAGUAAUAUUGUGAAAUAUUAUUUAAAUUAAAAACAACCAUUUUCUAUUUUAAUAUAUUUAAAGAUGUAAUUUAUUCCUGUGAUGGCAAAGCUGAAUUUUCUGCUUAAUAAUUUUGUGGAAACUAUUUGAUUUUUGAAGAAUAAAAAUCAGGGUUAUUUUUGUAUCUUCGAUAUACGAUAUGUAUCUUUGCUACACAAACAUUUUAAUAUAUGAAAAAAAGAAAUUUUUUUAUUUAAAAAAUACAUGUUAUUAUUUUAAAAAUUUAUAUAUAUAUAUAUAUAUAUAUAUUUUUUAAGCAUUUUAAUAUAUGAAAAAUGCCAACCAGA